GGCACUACCCAGUAGCUACCAUGUGUGACAUGAGACAUCUUGGGUUGCUGUGAGUUUGUUAUAAGACCCUGGGGAACAGGAUAUUGGGUCUUGAAUGCUGCCAUCUAGAAAUGACAGACGUCACUUUCGCUUAUACCUCAGUGGUCCCAUCAAGACCUAUAUCCACACCUAACAUCGAGGCGGGGUCGUUUCAUCCUUCCAUGCCUCUGGAGAAGAAAAUGAGAGCAUGGAUUCUGCCAGAACUUCUAGAGUUCCAAACAUUGAUUUUGUGCAGAUGUAGUCAGCUUUACAUGAGAACUGAGGGAUGAGUAUGAAAUGCAGAAGAAAUGAGUGCAAACAUAGGAUCUCAAUGAAAACAAUCAAAGAGGAAGAAACCCAAGGAAAAAAGAUUCUCAAAGAACUUCUCAAGUGGAUUCUACAAGUUUUAGUCUUUACACUGAGUAUAUACUAAUUGCACCAUCAUGUCACAUAGUGACAUGUGUUAUUCUGGCCAUUCCAGAUAAAGAAGAACAGACCCACAAAGAUUUACUGCCCCGCUGGCUGGGCAAGGGACCCGGACAAGUGACGCCCCAAUGUGGGGCUCAGUGAAGGAACACAACAGGAAAAUGUAAACAAAUCUGAGCCAUAUGAAGAAGUUCUUCAUAGCGCACACCGAUCAGAGACGAUUAUUGGGUUGCCUCUCUGAUGCUG